CCUACGGGGGGCAGCAGUAGGGAAUCUUCCGCAAUGGACGCAAGUCUGACGGAGCAACGCCGCGUGAGUGAUGAAGGUUUUCGGAUCGUAAAGCUCUGUUGCCAGGGAAGAACGUCCGAUAGAGUAACUGCUAUCGGAGUGACGGUACCUGAGAAGAAAGCCCCGGCUAACUACGUGCCAGCAGCCGCGGUAAUACGUAGGGGGCAAGCGUUGUCCGGAAUUAUUGGGCGUAAAGCGCGCGCAGGCGGCUUUUUAAGUCCGGUGUCACAGCCCAAGGCUCAACCUUGGGUCGCACUGGAAACUGGAGAGCUUGAGUACAGAAGAGGAAAGUGGAAUUCCACGUGUAGCGGUGAAAUGCGUAGAGAUGUGGAGGAACACCAGUGGCGAAGGCGACUUUCUGGG
rnacentral:rRNA from 1 species